AACACAAUUUGUUAUUCUUGUUUGACGUUUCGCCGCGUCUGCUAGAUACCGCUAAAUACACAGCGCGGCAUUAAAUAUUUUGCAACAGAAAUAAUUUACGUGAUUGUUAUUAUAUUACAUUAAGUAAGAUGGCUGAAAAAUACGAAAAGAAUGGAUACAACAGCAGCGACUUCAAGCGCAAUUCUAACCAGAAUUUGCAAGGCGAGGACGAUCCUAUGGAAGGCAAACAUAGCCAGGAAGGAAUGAAAAUAAACGAUAAAGCCGGCGAAUACUUGAGACAUCUUUUGGGCGAGAAAAUCCAACUCAACAAUGCAAAAUUUCCCAUGUCUUACAAACUUAUCGACCAAGAGGUGGCUAAAGUACAAGCAACAGGCAGAAUACCUAUAAAGGACAGUAAAUACUUGGAUGUAUACCGUGAGAAACCUGCUAAGGUGACGGUGAAAGUCCUGGUGCCCGUCAAAGAGUUUCCAAAGUUCAACUUCGUCGGCAAGCUUCUGGGUCCGAAAGGCAACACAAUGAAAUACUUGCAAGAGGAGACCAUGUGCAAAAUGGCUGUGCUUGGACGAGGAUCCAUGAGAGACAGACAAAAAGAGGAAGAGUUAAGGAACUCAUUGGACCCAAAAUACGCACAUUUGACGGACGAGCUGCACGUUGAGAUAUCAGCCCAGGCUCCUCCAGCAGAGGCCCAUGCCAGGGUCGCGUACGCCCUCGCCGAAGUGAAGAAAUACCUGAUACCUGAUGCCAAUGACAUGAUCAGGCAGAACCAGAUGAGGGACAUCAUGGAGAGGGGUGGGGGCGCGCCGCGGCCGCCGCUGCUAGACCCGCCCGGGGCUCCCGAGAGCGUGCUGUACAGUGCAUGCACCGUCACCAAACGUUCAUUCUCCUACCAGGAUCCUGUCUUGCCAGCCCCCCACCAGAGGGCAGGCCCGCCCGGCCGCGCUCCGCCGCGCAUGGCGCCAGCGCCGCCGACAAUGGGCCGCCCGAUGCCCCCCAAGACCAAAGUCAUCAGUAUACUGGACCGAGCACGCAGCGCCAUGGAGUCUUCGUACUCUACCUACGAUGAUCCCUAUGCUUCGGAGUCUGCUGGAGGCUAUGCCACCCAGCGCGGUCCCCCACCGCGGUCGGCCCCGGACAACGACUUCUACUACGAGCGUAACGAGCGUUAUUACGAUGAAGAAUCCUACUAUAAAGAAGCCCCCCCGGCGCGCGAGUUCAAGGCGUCAGCGCGCGACGUGGGCACGCGGCGGGCCGGGCCCGCGCCGCACCAGCACUACGCGCGGGCCACGCCCUACGCGCGCCCGCCCAAGUAGCGACCGUUAUGUUGGUAUUACGAGCCACGCAGGCGCGGAGGAGCCCACACAAACCGCAAGGAGGGAAGAAGCGUCCGCAAUAAGGUGAGUUUAGUUUAGUACUGGAUCUAGACAACAUUAAAAAAAAAUGGAAGAUAACCGAAAUACCCGCUAACAAAAAUAGAAGACUAAACGCCAGCAAAAAAUUAACAAAAACGACUAAAACAUAUCCAGCGAUCGAUUCAGAUAUUUAACGGACACA